UAGGGGAUCUUCCACAAUGGGCGCAAGCCUGAUGGAGCAACACCGCGUGAGUGAAGAAGGGUUUCGGCUCGUAAAGCUCUGUUGUUAAAGAAGAACACGUAUGAGAGUAACUGUUCAUACGUUGACGGUAUUUAACCAGAAAGUCACGGCUAACUACGUACCAG
rnacentral:rRNA from 1 species